rnacentral:rRNA from 1 species
GAUGAACGCUAGCGGCAGGCUUAACACAUGCAAGUCGAGGGGCAGCACAGGUAGCAAUACUGGGUGGCGACCGGCAAACGGGUGCGGAACACGUACGCAACUUACCCUAAACAGAUGAAUAGCCCUCGGAAACGGGGAUUAAUACAUCGUAAACUAUAAGAGUGGCAUCAUUUUUAUAGAAUAGCUGAGGCGGUUUAGGAUGGGCGUGCGUCCUAUUAGCUAGUUGGUAAGGUAACGGCUUACCAAGGCGACGAUGGGUAACUGGUGUGAGAGCACGACCAGUCACACGGGCACAGAGACACGGGCCCGACGCCUACGGGAGGCAGCAGUGAGGAAUAUUGGUCAAUGGACGCAAGUCUGAACCAGCCGUGCCGCGUGAAGGAUGAAGGCGUUCUGCGUUGUAAACUUCUUUUAUCAGGGAAGAAACCUCAGUAUUCUUAUUGAGCCGACGGUACCUGAUGAAUAAGCACCGGCUAACUCCGUGCCAGCCGCCGCCGUAAUAC